rnacentral:sRNA from 1 species
CCACGAAGUAAGACAGAGUGGGAAAAUAGGUCCAAUGCCAUCAAUUGUACAGCAAGAAGUGGCUAUAUGUGCAUGCCAAACGAAAACCUGACAGAACUGUUGGAGUUCUGUUACACAGAGCCGGGAUUAUGGAUUCUGAAAGGUUACUGCUUUUAUCUGGUCAAACGCGCAUCGAAGGUGAAUACAUACGACUGCAGCCAGUUUAGUUAUGGAUGCCACAACUACUCUUUCCUCAGCACCAGAAUAUAUGAACACCAGGCUUGUAUAGCCAUUGGAAAUGGUUGUUUUCUUGCUGAACCAUUUUGUGAAAGCGCAAGUAUUUUCUAUCUGCAAAAGAAAUAUCAGUGUAGAACUACAUCAAUUGGAUUUGUACGAACCAUUAACAAGAGAAAACCUGAAUGACAAAACUUUCACUUCGGAAGACCAACAACUUUCCUACAUUGAAUCCAUCAGGCUUUUCCUUAGCAAUGGCAAUGACAUUAAUUUGCGUGAUGAAGAUGGAACGAGCUAUCUCUAUAAAGCGUGUGAAAUAGGAAAUAAUGAAACUGUACAACUUUUACUGAAUAAAGGAGCAG